rnacentral:rRNA from 1 species
GCAGUAGCCGCGGUAAUACAGAGGGUGCAAGCGUUAAUCGGAAUUACUGGGCGUAAAGCGCGCGUAGGUGGUUCGUUAAGUUGGAUGUGAAAUCCCCGGGCUCAACCUGGGAACUGCAUCCAAAACUGGCGAGCUAGAGUAGGGCAGAGGGUGGUGGAAUUUCCUGUGUAGCGGUGAAAUGCGUAGAUAUAGGAAGGAACACCAGUGGCGAAGGCGACCACCUGGGCUCAUACUGACACUGAGGUGCGAAAGCGUGGGGAGCAAACAGGAUUAGAUACCCCUGUAGUCCCUGUCUCUUAUAC